rnacentral:rRNA from 1 species
UUACUGGUGCUCUAGUCAAUUUAGAACCACACCAACCCAUCCCGAACUUGGUAGUGAAAUGAAUUGAAGGCAACGAUACUUGUAGGGAAGCCUGCUGGAAAAAUAGUCUGGUGCCAGUAA